CUGAAGUGCUUUCUGCUGGCUAGAUAGAAUUAUGUCUGCAAUUCAAUGACAGUGAGCCCUUGGAGACUUCAGUCUGCAUAGUCGAUAAAGAUUUUUGGGAUGAAUUGCUGUAUUAAGUUCUGGCCGUGUUUGGUGAGAUGGAUGGGACUAUGUUGGAAUCCUGUUUCCUGCAGUUUUUCCACACGCUGCCCAGAUGUGCACUGUUAACAAGCUGAUGUGGGAGCAGCACUUCUGUCUGAACUUGAAAAAAUGCAGCAGCUGCUGAAGCAGGAUAUCCCUAGAUGCUGGGGCUGCCAAGCCCAGCUGUCCCAGCUACAGCACAAUGGGAGAAUGCUAGAGCAGCACACGGCAAGAGCAGCUGCAGCAAGACAAAGAUGUAGAUGCGUCUUUCCAGGUAUGAAGAAGAUAUUGGAUUUCCAUCAGCUGAAAUAUGCCUUUGGAAUAUAUUUCAGCAAGGUAGAAAAAAGAGCAUGAUGAAAACAUCUAUGUUUUACUGUUAAGUAAACUGAACUCUGAAUUAUUUAUAUUCUUUUCAUGAUGUACAGCACUCUAAUUAUAAUUGCUAUUUAUACUGUCUAAACGUGUUUUAUUGGAUAUUUUUCAUAUAAACUACUCUCAUGGACUUUGUACCAGGCACAGAGUCAUGCCUGAAGCCUACUCUCUAAACAUGCUUUAUAGUCUAGGUUUUCUAUACAAAUGGCUUUGACAAGGUUGUUUGUCACUGGACUUUGAUCCAAACAAGAUUAUUGCAGGAAAUUCUACCCCAGUAUGGAAAGCUACCGAGCUAUUUAUAUGGCAUUUCUUUGCAAUAGGUUGGAUUCUAAGGCAUGAACUGUUUUUGUAAGAUACAGUUAUCUCCUGAAAAUAUUUUUCCUUGUGUAUCUGCACUAAUGGAUUGACCUGCAGAAGGCACUAAGGUGGGAGAAGCUUUCAAAGGGCUUUUUUCUGUUUUGUUCCAUCCUGUUCUCCUAGUUCAUGUAUCCUUGAGAGAAAUGUCAAUGAGUGUAACAGCAUAAUGAAUCCGUUUGUCUGGCAGCCUUGUGUAAUAACUAUUACUCUAAUUGCUAGAUUAUUUCAAAAUCAAUAUUUGGCUCUACUACCAUGUUUUUACAGACACCAUGAAUUCUUCUGUUUUCAACAGGACUAUUCAGUGAACGCUUGAAAGAAAAAUAAAUCAUCUGAAAUGUGUGAAAAUUUA